rnacentral:rRNA from 2 species
AGUCUGAGGAACUAAUCUUAGAUAUAGCCUGCCCAGUGUAAUAUAAAUGGCCGCAGAACUUUAACUGUGCGAAGGUAGCGCGAUCACUUGUCUUUUAAAUGGAGACUGUAUGAAUGGCUGCAUGGGGGGCAUCUGUCUCCUUUGGGUUAGGAUGAAUUUAAUAAGCAGGUGAAAAGGCCUGUUUUUUGAAAAUAGACGAGAAGACCCUGAGAGCUUUAAAGAAAAGUCUUACGAAGACCUAGUUUUUGUUGGGGCAACAGGAGAACAAUUAAUUUCUCUUAUAAACCUGCUAUUUUUAAUAGGAAGAAUAAGCUACCUCAGGGAUAACAGCAUAAUUUUUCAGAAAGUUUGUGACCUCGAUGUUGGACUAGGUAAAAAUAAUCCUCAGAAGGGCUUGUUUUAGCUCUGUUCGAGCAAUAUAACCU